AUUGAACGCUGGCGAAUGCUUUACACAUGCAAGUCGAACGGUAGAGGGGGCAACCCCUCGAGAGUGGCGAACGGGUGAGUAAUAUAUCGGAACGUGCCCAGUCGUGGGGAUAACGUAGCGAAAGUUACGCUAAUACCGCAUACGAUCUACGGAUGAAAGCGGGGAUCGCAAGACCUCGCGCGAUUGGAGCGGCCGAUGUCAGAUUAGCUAGUUGGUGGGGUAAAGGCCCACCAAGGCGACGAUCUGUAGCUGGUCUGAGAGGACGACCAGCCACACUGGGACUGAGACACGGCCCAGACUCCUACGGGAGGCAGCAGUGGGGAAUUUUGGACAAUGGGCGCAAGCCUGAUCCAGCAAUGCCGCGUGCAGGAAGAAGGCCUUCGGGUUGUAAACUGCUUUUGACAGGGAAGAAAUCACUUAUGCGUAGGUGUCUGACGGUACCUGUAGAAUAAGCACCGGCUAACUCCGUG
rnacentral:rRNA from 1 species